GACAGGAAUGGGCGAAGUGGACAUGGCAUCUGCCCGGUAAGCGGAAGGUUGUGGGUUCGAUUCCCGCCCCUGGACA